rnacentral:lncRNA from 1 species
UUUUUUUUUUUUUUUUUUAAAGAUUCUCUUCUACAGUUAUUUCGAAGACUAGAGGUUUAAAAAAGCAUGCGUCUGUGUUCAAAGAAAAGAUUUACCAAAACGAACUGGGAUGGGGGGAAAAGGAAGAAUAAAAAAUUCCCACAGCAAGGUUUUCACAUCAAAUACUCACCAUAAGCUCUAACAGAGCUCAACAUUACAUGGAGAAAUUGCACUUGUUGCUGAAUACUAGUGCUCAUUCUUCUACAACAGAGUCCAAUAUAUCACUUCUUUAAAAAAAAAAAAAUCUGUUACUGAAGAGACAGGAGUCAGUCAGCAAUUCUUUUUAAGAGGAUACAGAGACAUAAGAAAUAUUUAUAUUGUAUUUCAAAUACAGAUUAGCUAAGCUAUGCCUGAAAUCUGGUUCUACCUGAAAAGAUGGAGGCAUUUCUCAUUUGGACCAUGUUUACCAGGACAAGUUUCAUGUCUUUAAAGCAAUGUUACUUACACUACUGUCCACCUCUCCUAUUUAAGAAUAAGAUGAAAACCACACAUUUUAAAUGGUAAUGACUUCUGGUUUAAUGUUAGUAAUUUACAGCUGAUGAGUUUUUACAUACAUCAGAUGAGUAUACUUUUUUCCUGUUUAAGUUAAUUAAUUAGGCUUCCUCCAAGCUCCCAGGCUACUUUGAUAGGAGGAGAGCCAAAUUUCAUAUAUGGCCUGCCAUAUUUAUAUGUUUCUUCUCCUGGCUUGCUGUUGGCUGAAGUACAAUAAAGACAUCUAUUUCCAAUUUUAAGACCUUUUUGGCUUCUGUGGUAGCACCACCACCUAUUUCAUAAGAUUCAAAGACAGUAUAAGGAUAAAAAGUAGGACAGUUUUCAGGGGCAAAGAUCAGAGUCUUCUGGUGUAACCAAGUACUGGAAUGUUUGCUUACAUUUUUUUGACUUGUGAGUGGUCUGGCUGGCAGCAAGGAUUUGUUAAGGGUUUGGAUUUAGUACGGGUUUAUAAGCUAAAAGGGACUUUCUGAUUAGGACUAAGAGAGCAGAACAGACCUUCUUCCGGCUGAAACUUUAUCUGGGGCUAUUUUAAAACUGGAAGAAGAAUUCCUGAAAAGUAUUCCUCCAUUUACUACAUUACUUCAGAAAGAGGUACACUUUAAAAUAACUAAAUAAGGAUAUUUCAGUUCAGCAUAUCAGUUACCACAUCACAGUUACAAAUUACAAAUUAGAAUUUAAGGCGAAGACAAAUAUUAACUUAGCCUUACUUAACAAGUAGAAUAGUAAUGUUAAAGGGAAGUAUAAAUUUCAUCGAAGAUCACACAGUCAGAAGUCAGAAUUAGGAUCUACCCUGUCUUUACUUUUAUCACUAGAGAAUAUUUUUUAAAAAGUACUGCAGUGUCUUGCCAAAGUGGUGUGAACUAUGCUUACUUUAGAAAUGAUAUAUCAUCAUUCUUUCGCUGUUUAGUAUGUUAAGGACUCCUGUUCGAAUCCGUGCAUUUUUCAAAAACCAUUCCAAGAACACAGAAGGUAGCAUGAUGAAUUAUGGGAAAUAUUUCAAAAAGAAUAUAAACUGCAAAACGCUAGAACAAAAAUGCAAUUUAAAAAUAACCUUACCUUAAAAAAAUUAUAGAACUGUCAUCUUCCUCAGGUAUACAAUAUAUACUGGCAUAAAAACUGACAAGAUGCUCAAUUAUUAGUCAAAUGUAUUCUUAAAUUUUAUGAGUAUUCAUUUGUACUAUAUACAAUAAUCCCAUUAUUUAAAAGAAUGAAUUUCUCCCAAGAAUUCCAAAUACAUUACAGAUGUUAUUACAUGAAUUCUCACAGCAAAUCUCUUGAAAUAAGACAAGGGCAGGUACCAUAAUCUCAACCUGAAUCAUAUUACAGAUUCAUUCAAAAGUUUAAAUAAGAAUUUCCCAAGGGGUUUCCAUCCAGAAACCUGUCCUUUUUCCCUAAGAAAAUUAAAUUUAUUAUAAUAAUGACUACUUUCUGAGUUUCUCAUAUAUUUUUCAGAAAGAUUAUCAGAUUCAAGGUGGAACCAGAGCCUUUAAAAACAAUCUAAAAAAAGUUUCAGAAUGUCAAAGAAAUGGGAGUAAUUAAAAAUUUUAGAAUGCUAGUUAUAAUUACAUGAAUGAAUACAUUCAGUUUUAUAUUCAUAUAUUUUGGGAGAAUUUUACGUAUUAUACACAUAGUUGUAUAUAUAUAUAUACACACACACAUACAUAAUAUAUGGCAACUCAAACAUUUAAAAAAUGAACUGCUAUCUAUGUACAUAAAACUUCAGGAUUGCCUUUUUCAUGUUUAGUUAAGGUUAAUUACUAUAAAAUUAUUGGCUCUCUAGCCUGUGAUUUCUGGAUAAUGGAGUACUGUUUCAGAAGUUACAAAAGUAAAAUGUAAGUAGAUUAUUAUUUUGAGCAAUUUUCAAAAUUGUUAUCUUUAGUUUGCCAAUUCAAAAUAAUUUUACCUAACUCUAUGGCUAUCCACCUUGAAAAUCAACUCCAAUCACUGGGAUCAUGACACUUGUUAUACAGAAAAAUAAGUACCAUUUAAUAAUUUUUAAAGCAAGGAUCAUUUUUUAUUGUCAUUGGGAUAUGGUCAAAGCAGUUAGUAUCUGGAUAUAAUCUAUAAUGUCACAUGGUUUUAUCGCUAACUUGGGUUAUUAUCUAAAUUUGCCUUAAUAAUCUAUUUGUUGCUUUAAAGGAAACUUAAAAACUACUAUAAAUUUAUUGGAUUCUAGAAUCUAGGGUUUAGGCUACUACUGCUGUAGGCAUACUGGGUUUCUGAUAUAAUUUCCAUUUCAGAAAGCUAUGUUCAGCAAUUGUAUAUUAGAGUUAGCCAAAAUAAACAAACUCCUGAUGUAUCUGACAUGUGAUAUUACCAAAUACUACACAGAAAUGGAGACUGCAUAAUAAAGGCAUGGCUGUAAUGAAGGUGAAAAUUCUACUUUGUAGGGCUAUCACAUUUAUUUCAGUAAGCUAUGGUUAAAUGACUUAUCCAGGGAUAUCACCUCUAUGGGUAUUUGUACAUCUGAAAAUGAAAAAAUAUACAUAUAUAGUCUUCAGUUGUGUACAAUCAUGCCCUGAGUGCUGAAAUGUGGACAUUCACCUAUCCACAAGGAGCCCUCAGGCACAUUAAUGUGCUGGCACACCAUGUUUCCCAAAAGCACAUGCAUGUGUGUGUCUAUUUCAACCCUUAACAAUUGCUCAACAUCACUCUAAACCAUUUUCUCUUCCAUAAAGCUAAUUAUUACAGAUCUUCCCAAAAGAGAAGUUCACAUUUCCUUGAUCACAGCUAUACUCUCAAUACCUAGGAAGAACACUGGGACCCCUGGGCUUCUUGCCCCAGCAGAGCACUGCUCAUUCCUGCAGAUUCAUAUGGGACUUGGGUUUCAAGUUCAAUGAUUCUUCAUUGAGAUACAAUGAACUUAUCUAAAUGUAUUCUUGUUAGCACUGGCAUCUAGACUGAAACGAACUAAACUGCAUCAUUUCGUGUUAGGAGAAAUCUAAUAUGCAUUAAUUAAAUAGUCAAUCAUGAAUACCAUUUAUAAGAAAUAAUUCCUUUAAGUAUAUUUUCUAAGUAAUACAUUUUAUAUCACAUAAGGCUAACAAUAUACAUGAUGUAAAAGUCAUCUAUUGUACCAAGAUGAUUGAAAUAUUUGGCAGAUAAACUUCUUGUGCUGCUAUAAUUAUCCCAAAGCUGUUUAAAGAGGCUCCAUGCUGCAGCAUGAAAGUACAUUAGAGAAUACAGCACAUUUCCUGAGUGCAGAACUGAAAUUUCUCUUAAAAUUUCAAGUGUGUGUUAAAACAUUAAGUCAUAGGGCAUCACCUUGACACUGUGCUUUAAUUCAUGUUGCUUUGAGAAGCCAAGAAUUUGGUGUAAAUACAUGUAGUUUGAAAGUUUCCACAGUUAUUAAAAUAGUAUAAUCCAUUUUGUCACCAAUUCCCUGCCCUGGGACAAGAAACGUGAAUUUGUAUUCUGGCAAUGAAAUCUAGAAUCAAAAAAAAAAAAAA